AAGGCUUUAUGUCCCGGAGGUAGACAAAUGCCGCCAUUUUAGAGUGUGGGAGGAAAACGUUCCCUUCCCUCUCUCCUCACAGAGGGAUGCAAUUAAGAAGCUUUUUACAGGAAGAUACUUGUGAUACAAAGAAGUUCAAAGAGUUGCCAAGGAUCAAACGAGAGGGCUGCCGCCCUUCCACGAUCACUCGAGAGUCCUCUUCACGUUCAUCGCCCUUCCAGGGCGACCUCCAACCCUUUUCAGGGUCCCCCGGUGGGAGAAAACUGGAUGGCGGAGGGAGCAAUCACCCUGCACGUCUGCCAGCGCCGAAAUCACAAACUGGAAGCCAAAUAUCAGCUUCUUCUGAUUGAGCUGCAGAAAUCUUAAGUAAUCAGCAACACACUUUCUUGCGAUUUCCAGUUUAACAGCAAUGGUGUUAAAGUCAGGAAGGGAAGCAAAUUUGGUUGAUGAACUAACUAAUAAAUACAUAUGACCUAGAAAA